rnacentral:lncRNA from 1 species
AGAGCAGAGCUCAGGUGACAUCACAGAACAGGCAGAGGCAGUUCAGGGGUAUUCUGGUUGCCUUACCCAGCUCUGAAGUCUGUCAGCCUCUUCAGAUGUCACUUGCCAUGUGGUAAGGAAGUGUAGUCAGCAGCUGGUGCAGUGGGAAGAAGAGAAAGGAAGUUCCCCAAGACAAAAACAUCUCGGCAGACUUCAUCAUGAAUUCAUGGCAUCACACAGUCCCCUGAUGCUAUAACAUCAUGGAUUUCUUUUGUCCAGUGAGAGGCCCAAAAGCUGCAGCAUAGACAAUAUCAUAGUGUAGAAGGUUCACUAGACCGUGAUCAUGGGCUACAUUCUCCGUACCAGCUUCAUAGCUCCAGUGAGAAAAUAAAUUCCUGCAUCCAGGAGAUGUGGAGUAAGAGAUACAGCUGCCCUUGACCAUAUUUCUUACUUCCGAGAAGAUCGUAGCAGUAAUUCAGAAUCUCAUCCAGGAUACCUCAUCACAGGCUGGAGUGCAGUGUCAUGAGCUUGGCUCACUACAGCCUCCAUCUUCUGUGCUUAAGGAUCCUUCCCUCUCAACCUCCAAGGUAGCUGAGACUACAGGCAACAUUCGAAACCCAGGUGCCACUCCUUCAGGAAGGUACCAUCAAGCUCCAAGGACUCAUCCUCUUUCUCCUUCCCCACUACCUAGUCAUUAGAGCGUCAGCAUCCACUUCCUGAAAGGAAGAUGCCUGUUUUUCACAUAUCCCAGAAAGCCUCAUUUUAGGACAGCAUUUAGCAGAGUGUAUUCAGGAUCCCACUAACCUUUUCGGAAGACAUGACUUCCAGAUGAUAUAAGGCUCCAUCAGGAACUGUGCAGGACUGUGCACUCUGUUGAUACUCACAUGGUGGAAUUAUAUUGCCCUUGGCCAACCCUAAAGCCAUCAAGAUAGCAGGUUUGGAAUAAUUCACUGUCGAAGUCUUCUUGAGCUGAGCAGUCAUGUGAGCUUGGAAGAUGAUCCCUCUCCAGCUGAUCCUUCAGCUCAGGCCAUCAUCUACAUCUGGAUUCCUGACCCGGAGAAACUAUGAGUAAUGUGUGCUGCUUUUGAGCCACUAAGCUACAUGAAUUAAUGAAGGAUCAUUAUUAAGUUUUUAAUGGGUCAAGAGAAAGUUACCACUGAGGUCUUCUCUACCUGGGCAACAAUUGACUCCUAACAACCACUAUAAGCUUGGAAGAUGAUCCCUCCCCAGCUGAUCCUUCAGGUCAGAUUUUUCACAGAGCCAUAGAUAUCUUAUCAUCCUCUGUGGCUUGAAGACUAAUGGCAAUAAAACAUUUCUCAAUAAAGGAGGCUAUACCAUUGUCUGUGUGAUUUCCACUUUCCCUGUUGACACUUAUUCUGCCAGUUUUGAUGUAGGUCAUCUUGCCAGAAGAUGAAAGCAGAUUUCAGGUGAAGUUCAUACAUGUGUAGACAUUAAAAACUGUCAAGGCUACUACCAGGCUAACAGCAAUUGUAAAACUUGAAAACAAAAC